CAUACCAUCUUCUAUAACAUCUAGCGCUCUACCAUUCCUCACCAACGACCAAGCCCAAUCAGUGACAACAACAGGCUGGCCAUCGUUAGUUGCUAUAAUGGCUUUCUUCCCGCUCAAAAGCUCAAGAAGCACAACCCCGAAGCUAUAUACAUCACUCCUCUCAGUUAGCUGCCCGUAUAAAGCAUACUCAGGUGCCACAUAUCCCAUGGUGCCGGCCACUCUAGUGCUCAAGUGAGUCAUUCCCUCCGGGGUAAACUUAGCCAAUCCGAAAUCUGCCACCUUAGGCUCAAAGGUUUCAUCUAAAAGUAUAUUACUUGCUUUGAUGUCCCUGUGAAUUAUGGCAGGUUGUGCACCGUAAUGCAAAUAGGCCAAGCCCUUCG
rnacentral:lncRNA from 1 species